UUCAUUGUAGAUUCCGGAUAUUAGCCCUUUGUAGCAUAAAUAGAUUGCAAAAGGUUUCUCCCAUUCUGUAGGUUGUCUGUUCACUCUGAUGAUAGUUUCUUU